GACGAACGCUGGCGGCGUGCUUAACACAUGCAAGUCGAACGGAAAGGCCCUGCUUGCAGGGUACUCGAGUGGCGAACGGGUGAGUAACACGUGGGUGAUCUGCCCUGCACUUCGGGAUAAGCCUGGGAAACUGGGUCUAAUACCGGAUAUGACCUUCCAUGUAGUGUGGGGGGUGGAAAGAUUUAUCGGUGUGGGAUGAGCCCGCGGCCUAUCAGCUUGCUGGUGGGGUAAUGGCCUACCAAGGCGUCGACGGGUAGCCGGCCUGAGAGGGUGGACGGCCACAUUGGGACUGAGAUACGGCCCAGACUCCUACGGGAGGCAGCAGUGGGGAAUAUUGCACAAUGGGCGGAAGCCUGAUGCAGCGACGCCGCGUGGGGGAUGACGGCCUUCGGGUUGUAAACCUCUUUCGACAGGGACGAAGCUUCGGUGACGGUACCUGUAUAAGAAGCACCGGCUAACUACGUG
rnacentral:rRNA from 1 species